rnacentral:rRNA from 1 species
AGUGAACGCUGGCGGUAGGCCUAACACAUGCAAGUCGAACGGCAGCACAGUAAGAGCUUGCUCUUACGGGUAGCGAGUGGCGGACGGGUGAGGAAUACAUCGGAAUCUACUUUUUCGUGGGGGAUAACGUAGGGAAACUUACGCUAAUACCGCAUACGACCUACGGGUGAAAGCAGGGGAUCUUCGGACCUUGCGCGAUUGAAUGAGCCGAUGUCGGAUUAGCUAGUUGGCGGGGUAAAGGCCCACCAAGGCGACGAUCCGUAGCUGGUCUGAGAGGAUGAUCAGCCACACUGGAUCUGAGACAGGGCCGAGACUCCGACGGGAGGCAGCAGUGGGGAAUAUUGGGCAAGGGGGGCAAGCCUGAUCCAGCAAGACCGCGGAGGUGAAGAAGGCCUUCGGGUUGGAAAGCCAUUUUGUUGGGAAAGAAAAGCAGCAGGUUAAUACCCCGCGGUUCUGACGGUACCCAAAGAAUAAGCACCGGCUAACUUCGUG